rfam:Stegodyphus mimosarum contig22189, whole genome shotgun sequence.
AUCUUCGUGGUGUAGUGGUCAGCACGCUCGACGCGUAAUCGAGACGUCAGAGGUUCGAGUCCCGGCGAAGGCA